rnacentral:rRNA from 1 species
CCAGCAGCCGCGGUAAUACGUAGGUGGCAAGCGUUAUCCGGAAUUAUUGGGCGUAAAGCGCGCGCAGGUGGUUUCUUAAGUCUGAUGUGAAAGCCCACGGCUCAACCGUGGAGGGUCAUUGGAAACUGGGAGACUUGAGUGCAGAAGAGGAAAGUGGAAUUCCAUGUGUAGCGGUGAAAUGCGUAGAGAUAUGGAGGAACACCAGUGGCGAAGGCGACUUUCUGGUCUGUAACUGACACUGAGGCGCGAAAGCGUGGGGAGCAAA